rnacentral:rRNA from 1 species
GAUGAACGCUAGCGGGAGGCCUAACACAUGCAAGCCGAGCGGUAUUUGUCCUUCGGGACAGAGAGAGCGGCGUACGGGUGCGGAACACGUGUGCAACCUGCCUUUAUCUGGGGGAUAGCCUUUCGAAAGGAAGAUUAAUACCCCAUAAUAUAAUGAAUGGCAUCAUUUAUUAUUGAAAACUCCGGUGGAUAGAGAUGGGCACGCGCAAGAUUAGAUAGUUGGUGAGGUAACGGCUCACCAAGUCGAUGAUCUUUAGGGGGCCUGAGAGGGUGAUCCCCCACACUGGUACUGAGACACGGACCAGACUCCUACGGGAGGCAGCAGUGAGGAAUAUUGGACAAUGGGUUAGCGCCUGAUCCAGCCAUCCCGCGUGAAGGACGACGGCCCUAUGGGUUGUAAACUUCUUUUGUACAGGGAUAAACCUACUCUCGUGAGAGUAGCUGAAGGUACUGUACGAAUAAGCACCGGCUAACUCCGUGCCAGCCGCCGCAGUAA